GUAAAUGGGUCAUCGUGAGUAUGCCUUUGUCAUGGGAGGUUACCAGAGUUAAAGGGGAAAAUGGAAAGCUCUUUGCACAGGACUUCGCAUGCUCCACACCAGCCUUGGAACAGGAGGUCACUGAGUUAGCUAAUCCCUCUCUCGACCUAGGCCUUGGCCAGGGGACGUGUUCUGGAGGAACAUCAUGGGGGCUGAAGGCAGAGGAGCGUCCAAGCAGGGGGCCUACAGCCAGUCCCCUGAUGACCUACCUUGAACCUCAUCACUGCAGACUUGGAAUUCGUGAGACCUUUGACUGCAAUAGGCACAAAGAACACUGACAGCCGAAGGAGAUUCAAGGAGGCCAGCAUGCUGAAGGCCUGGAUAAGAAGGGGAGGAGGUGGUGAGGGUCGUGGCCCUUCCUGCUUCCUCCAUUCCCUGUCACCCGCAUCCCUGAGCCACAUCCUCAGCAUCCAACAAGCAGUUGCUUCAUCCAACAGAGGCUAAGCUAGUGUUUGGAGGAGACUGGAAAAAGCUGGGGAAAGAGCACUCGUCCUGGAGUCUUAGAGUCAAAGGCCUAGUCCCUGUUGCAGCUUAGCCACUGACAUCUCUAGCUUUGGGCAGGUUGCCCCUACCACAGCCCAGUUUCCCCAUUGGCAUAGUGAGAAAAAUCAUAAAGUGUAUACAGGAAUAAAGUUGGGAA
rnacentral:lncRNA from 1 species